CGCUAUAUCCGCGGCACAUGAUGAGCACACGAGAGAGAUGGAGAUAGGAAUUGAAAACUACAUACGAAGAAAUU
rnacentral:tRNA from 1 species